rnacentral:rRNA from 1 species
GAUGAACGCUGGCGGCGUGCCUAAUACAUGCAAGUCGAGCGAAUGGAUUAAGAGCUUGCUCUUAUGAAGUUAGCGGCGGACGGGUGAGUAACACGUGGGUAACCUGCCCAUAAGACUGGGAUAACUCCGGGAAACCGGGGCUAAUACCGGAUAACAUUUUGAACCGCAUGGUUCGAAAUUGAAAGGCGGCUUCGGCUGUCACUUAUGGAUGGACCCGCGUCGCAUUAGCGAGUUGGUGGGGUAACGGCUCACCAAGGCAACGAUGCGUAGCCGACCUGAGAGGGGGAGCGGCCACACUGGGACUGAGACACGGCCCAGACUCCGACGGGAGGCAGCAGUAGGGAAUCUUCCGCAAUGGACGAAAGUCUGACGGAGCAACGCCGCGUGAGUGAUGAAGGCUUUCGGGUCGUAAAACUCUGUUGUUAGGGAAGAACAAGUGCUAGUUGAAUAAGCUGGCACCUUGACGGUACCUAACCAGAAAGCCACGGCUAACUACGUGCCAGCCGCCGCAGUAA